rnacentral:siRNA from 1 species
UGUGGAUGAAGCUGAGUCCUGGUC